GUAUCAAAAACAGAUAUUUUACAGCUUUGCCUACGUUUUCUGAUAAUGUAAUUUGUUUUAGGUUAAGACUGUUUAGUUACAGGCAUAGGCGUCAAAUUCCGGGUUGCCGGGUUGGCGAAAUACGUAUGGCCACCCCGGUUUUGGGUUGGGCAAUGUUUGUAUUUUUUCCAAGUAUAGCGUAAAAAAACACUCGUACUAUCAGUAAACGUAAAUCAGGGCACGCGUUCGCAGAGAGCCUGCUCUUGCCUGUUUCUUUUAUAAAAAUGAUAGAUUGCUUUAUGAGCACGUGUUUGCAUGAGCACUCUUACGCUCUCACUGGUUUCUUUUUUAAAAACGAGAGAACGCUAAUGAGCACGUGUUCGCAUGGAGCACGCUCUAGCCUGUUUUUUUUUACAUAGUAAAGUAAAGAAUGACAUGCCAAAUAUAUGCGACACAACAGCAAUUCAAUAAUACAUGGAUAUUUUUCAAUAGUUACAAUUUACAGGUUUAUUGUUUUCGUCAUAAUAGCUAUUAAGAAGUAUUUGCAUUUUUACGUGGAUUCGCUAGAAAUCUGGUUAAAUUUGUCCAAUUAUUGUUAAAACGAGAGUAAGCGAAUGCCUUUUAUACGAUCUUAUAGCAUGCAUUGGUUAUGGUUUUACUAGAGUAUUGCACGUUACGCAGCACGUUAAUCCAGCCCUGGACACUCAUUUAAAAGUAGGUCGGCAACCACUUGUCGGCGAUAUUGCCGACGAUGAAGAAACGCGGCCGAACGCUAGCACUCGCAUCAUAAAAUACUACAUAUGGCCUUUUGCCGCAUGUCGCUUCUACCGUCUGCGUGUUAUUAAAUCUGUUAGCGGGGCGAUUCUUGAAUUAAUAAAGGUUUCUUACUACCGCACUGACCAAAUCAAGAAUGAAGUCGAACAACUUCAGAAAGUGAUGGUAGAUCGUAAAUAUUAGUUCGUAGGUUGAGAAACACGAGCUUACUAGCACAACUUACGAAUCUGCAACACAUGUGGUUUAUUUACAAGACGUGAAGUGAACAACUACGUUUGGUAAAACAGCAAAAAAGGUUAAAAACCGAGAAAUUCUUCAUCUGAAGAGGACGACCACACUUCUUCAUUUUCAGAAGCGUCUGUUGUUUCCUGUUCUAGGAGCAACGACGAAGUGCUGCUCGUACAUGCUUUUGCCAAUUUUGCAGGGUGGUUAAUACCUUGUAGCAUAGGCGUAAAGUUUUACUAAACGUUAGGGUUGCAAAAACCAGAAAAAAAGGAAGUCCUAGCGCCGGUAGGCGCGAAAAAAAAAACGGUUUGCAACCCUUUGUUUUCGGUUUGCAACCCUUUAAAUAUGUGCUUUGUAAAAGCUCAUACCAACGUAAACGUAUUCAGAAUUACGUAGGGAUGAGACAAAUUAAAAUUACGCGCGUUCAGCAAGUCCGUGUAAUGAGAAACGGUCGAAUCCGAUUGCCUGGCGAGUGACGUCACAGUAGCUAUGUCGCAUGCGCCUUUCGUCAAGCCCGCACGAGUGUGUGGUUAUCUUACAAACGAAGACCCGUCCGUCGGAAAUAGUAGGUUUCCAGAACGAAAUAUCGCUGAAAUAAACUGCCUAAAUCGUUUCC